rnacentral:rRNA from 1 species
AGACCCGAAACCCGGUGAUCUAGCCAUGGGCAGGUUGAAGGUUGGGUAACACUAACUGGAGGACCGAACCGACUAAUGUUGAAAAAUUAGCGGAUGACCUGUGGCUGGGGGUGAAAGGCCAAUCAAACCGGGAGAUAGCUGGUUCUCCCCGAAAGCUAUUUAGGUAGCGCCUCGUGAAUUCAUCUCCGGGGGUAGAGCACUGUUUCGGCUAGGGGGCCAUCCCGGCUUACCAACCCGAUGCAAACUGCGAAUACCGGAGAAUGUUAUCACGGGAGACACACGGCGGGUGCUAACGUCCGUCGUGAAGAGGGAAACAACCCAGACCGCCAGCUAAGGUCCCAAAGUCAUGGUUAAGUGGGAAACGAUGUGGGAAGGCCCAGACAGCCAGGAUGUUGGCUUAGAAGCAGCCAUCAUUUAAAGAAAGCGUAAUAGCUCACUGGUCGAGUCGGCCUGCGCGGAAGAUGUAACGGGGCUAAACCAUGCACCGAAGCUGCGGCAGCGAACGUAUCACUUAAAGCGAUUCAGCGGGUUACGAUUGACGGAGCGAAGCGACGUCAAAGCGUAUACAAAGUCGAGUCGGUUUAAGGAUACGUUCGUUGGGUAGGGGAGCGUUCUGUAAGCCUGUGAAGGUGUGUCGUGAGGCAUGCUGGAGGUAUCAGAAGUGCGAAUGCUGACAUAAGUAACGAUAAAGCGGGUGAAAAGCCCGCUCGCCGGAAGACCAAGGGUUCC